CCAAACAAAACCUCGAACAUUAGAGAAAAUUCCCAAACAAAACCUCAUGAACGUUAGAGAAACUUCCCAAACAAAACCUUGUGAACGUUAGAGAAAAUUCCCCAAAAAAACCUCGCGAAUGUUACAGAAAAUUCCCCAAACAAAACCUUGUGAACGUUAGAGAAAAUUCCCUAACAAAACCUUGCGAAUGUUAGAAUAAAUUCCCCCAAAAAAACCUCACGCAUGUUAGAAUAAAUUCCCCAAACAAAACCUCGCGAACGUUAGAGAAUUUUCCUCAAACAAAACUUACCAACGUUAGAGAAAAUUCCCAAACAAAACCUCACUGAGGUUGGAGAAUGUAUUUUCAUUUAUUUUUAAUUUUCCAUUUUAAUAGCUAAAUUCACAUGGACAGUCUGAUAAUUAUCCAUGUAUGAUAAUCAUGUUUUACUUCAUUAGUAGUACAUUUCUCUAUCAUAGCUUGCUGUAUUCCGGUCAUCAAGCUACUAUUAUAAAUCUGUUCAAAGAAAAAAAAAAAAAAAUAGAUGUCUUCUUGUUCAACACACACCAAAGGAGUAGCAGGUCAAGGUUCACUGUGAGCUCUGUAAAGUUUUGAAAAGUUAUCAGUAAGCUCUGGAUGUGAGCAACCAUCCUCCAUCGUAGUCAGGAUCAGCAGAAAUGACUGAAGCCCUGCCUCAGACCGUCUCCUGUUGGCUGACAGUUACAUCGGAGUAUGUUCCUUCAAAGGUUUAACUUCCAUCUAGUAGUGCUAUAUGUUGGUGCCAUGGUUCUGGUCAACAUGUUCUUGUUGGAUUCAAAGGUAAGGUCGUGUUUUUUGACAAAUACCAAAAUGUCCAUGGAAGCAGCCUCAGUUUGAGCAGAACCACUUUCUUUUACUGAGGGACGUCCGACAUGCUUUUGUAUUUAUUUGUACUUUUUAAAGCUUGUACUGGAUUGAAACCCUGAAUCUCAUUGAUAUUCACUUAUAGUACAUCCCUGGAUCCCUCGUAGGUACAGUCAAGCCGACGCUCUCAAAUACGUGGGCAUUGAGAGGGAGAUUGACGUGGUCUGACUUUCCAACCUUCCGCCUUUCCUGCCCACAAUGCACCUCUCCUCACUCAAGACCACGUUUCUAUAACGUGGUUGCCUGGAUACAUCUUCGGGUUACAAGAAGGGAUUCUGUGAUGUCAUAGCAUUACGAUAACGGUAUGAUAUCAAAGAAUCGCUCAUCACAAAAAAUAUCCAAAAUGAAAAACAAAAAAAGGGGUCACAUAACCCCAUGUUUUCAAUUACAGACGGAUUUCAUUCAGAAUUAGAAUGCUUUUGUUGGUGUGUAAAAUCAAAUAAAUAAAUAAAAGGACGCUAGUAUUCUUAAUAGAAGUCACUCUUAGAAUCAGCAAUUUCCAAGAAUAUUAGAAGGAAAUCUUAAAAAAUAUUUGAAUACAAAAAAAAGAGAAUAAGCUAACUGUGUUAGCUUAUUCAACUAAUAGCUAAUACAGUAAUUAGCGGUGUAUUAGCAUUCCCAGCGUAACCUGACAAAGUACAGGAAUUCAAAACAAAUCCAAUCUCCAGCUAUAAAAGUUACAGAUAGCUAAAUAUACUAACUUAGCGGUAUCUGUUAUGCUAGCAGCAUGUAGGCUAGUACAGGAAAUAACAGCGUAUGCUAUUGUACUAAUGUGAACGGCUGACGUUCUACUUAAGGACUAGCUAGUCAUAAAUGGUACAGUAGCACUUGCGACAGAGCUAGCGUACGGAUGAUUCGGCAAGUAACGCGGGGAUAUUUGUACUUCAUGUCCACUUAGCUAUGCUAUAGCGCUAACUGAAAAGUUUUUAAAUAAAAAUCACCUCAGACAGCGGUGUCCUUUCCAUCACUCACGUGUUUUUUUUUUAUUUUUUUUUGUUCCCUGACAAGAAAGCAUCAAAAGCUGCUAGUUUGGCUAAUCUGGAGCAGAGAGCGUUCUUCUCUUCAGUUAACCUGUGGUAAACUCUGUACACAAGCUUCUGAAUAGCAGUUUUAGCAUCCUAAUAUAGUCUACAUUAUGUAUAGUUGCAAACUAGGAGACAUAUUUAUGGUUGCCGUUUUAGUUUUGUUCAGUUUAUUCAUACGGAAAUGAAUGAACUUCACAUCUGCAAUAACGUUAUCUUUAGCUAAAAUGCAGUGUACUGUAACGUCAGCCUGUUACUCUAAUCCGCAGCGCUUUGUCGUUGGCUACUUUUGACAUUCAAGCUUUAUUUGUUUGAAAAUGUUUCUAUAACGCUGCCAUCUCAUAUCAGCUACGCUAAUCUGUAUCUCACCGGGAUCCCCGGCUAUUCCAGCGCUAAGCAUCUCGCCUAUGGCUAACUAUGUAGCACAAACAUAUACUUAUUUGUAGGAUGUAAACUAGCAACAAUGGCAGGUAUCUGCAGGGUUGCCAGGUCUCAGCAGAAGUUCUAGCCCAACUACAUCGUUGAAGAAAAAAAAAGAAAGUAAAAUAAAUACAUUUUAAAAUAAAAACACAAUAUGACCUGCCCAAGGAAUUGAGGAAUUGAAAUCCGGAAACAUUUCUGAUGGACAGUAUCUGCAACACAUCUUUUAAUUCACCUGUAACACACAUUAUCCUCUCUAUAAUCCCCCUUACUGUUCCAGUACAUCAUAGAUACACUGUCUGCUCUUACACUUUUACACCCUUUGUUUGCAAUUGCUUAUGUCGGAAAUUAGAUUUCAUUCGAAUUAUUUGCUUUAAAUCAAGAAGAAAUAAAUAAAUAAAUAAAUCCUGAACAUGUAGUAAAAAAAAAUAAAUAAAUAAAAAUGGUGUGACCUUGGCAACCCUGGGAAUCCGUUAUGUUUUAGACUUUAUGACACAUCUGGUGUUCUGUAACAAGAAGCAAAAAAAAAAAAAAACCAAGGAACCAUACAAGCCGACAAGGUGAAUGUGCUCGUCGGGCUAAUGACGACGAAGGAAAGAAGUGUGCGAGAUUCGUUCGUAGGGUCUUUUUAUUUUAUUUUUUCUCAAAGAGCGAGUAGGUCCUGUAAGUAUUCCUUUCAUGUGUAUUAAACGACGAGCUAGACCAAACUAAAUCCACCUAACCGACUGACUAUUUAGUGCGUUUUCCCACGCAGGACAUCCGAGAACGCCGCGAAUACGCUAACCACGUUAUCAUUUCUGUAAUAUUAAAGAAAGCAUGCUAAGAAGAAGAAAAAAAAAGAACACAAAUCAUAAUGCAUUGCCGCAUCUGUUAAUGACCGAAUACUUAGUUUAAUCCUAUUAACCACACGUAAUCUUCAGCGCGUGAUAUCUGUGCAUCAUACCGCUUGAUACGAUAUUUCACUUCUAUUAUGUUUUUUUUUUUUUUUUUUUUUUUUAGCAAAUUUACCUCGUCAAAUCUUCCGCCAAAGGAACGUCACGUACCCCUCUACGAGGCGUUUCUUACACGCAUCUUUAAAAAGGUACCGAUUUAUAUACGCGACGCUCACAUCACGAUCGUAAGGAACCCGAUCGCAGCGAUCUGGACGUAAUCUCAUACACCUGGCUACGGUUGUGUUUAGCAUCGUUCGCGUGCUAAAGCUGACAAAAUCAUUGAUUCUUCGUUCAUCAAAAUCAUAUUUAUAUAUAGCUUUACUUAACUUCACAUUUCGAGACUUAAGAAUUCGACUUUUUCCGAAAUUCCCGCUUGUUUUGUUUCCUUGCCGAGUACACAUAGCAAAGAUGGAGGACACGACAGAAAGGAGGAUGAGAGGGACGUAGUAGACGCCUUUUCUAGGCCUCACACACGAGGUCACUGUUACGACUUUGUACUCAGCAAUGACGUGAGCAAAACGGGAAUAUUAGGAAAUCAGCAUGGCCGUCCUCCACUCUAUGCUUUUUUUGUUUUUUUUUGUUUUUUUUUGUUUGUUUUUUUGGUUAAAAGAAGAAGAAAAAAAAAUUAAAGCCUACCUUAAAAUGUCGUUCAAUGUUUAACUGUCACUUAUCUGACCAUUUUCUGUCCUGUACCCAUGUUAACAUGUACAUCCUUCAUCUUCUGAAGAAGUCUUCCCAUUUCAGUAUGUGCCAAAUACGAGAUACGCCGACUCGGAAAUUCAUAACGCUUAGAUAUAAAUAAAUAAAUAAAUAAAUGAUGUAGUUAUUGCCUUUUAGCUUUUGGAAUUUAUUACAUUUCUAUACGUUUCAAGUUCCCGUUUUUUGUGAAAUAGUUUUCCAUCGAAUUAUACUCUACGUGUACAAUGAUACAAUAAAAUACUGAUAUCCAAGGUCUAAAGGUUUUGAGACGGAAUAUUAUUAUAUAAUAUUAUUUCUCUAUUACAUGUAUGCGGUCAUUGCUUACGCCAACCUACUCUUUAUUUAAAUUAAAAAAAAAAAACAUUUUUUAAAAAAACAGCUCUUCGAGGUGACUGAAACGCCAUGGAAGUUAGAUGUGUAUGUGAAAGCAAGCAGGUCUGUGUAUGGAAAAUAAAUUUAUAACUUUAAAAA
ensembl:lncRNA